AUUGAACGCUGGCGGCAGGCCUAACACAUGCAAGUCGAGCGGAGCGGCGGACGGGUGAGUAAUGCCUAGGAAUCUGCCUGGUAGUGGGGGAUCCCGUACGGAAACGGGCGCUAUUACCGCAUCCUAUCAGAUGAGCCUAGGUCGGAUUAGCUAGUUGGUGGGGUAAAGGCCUACCAAGGCGACGAUCCGUAACUGUGCUGAGAGGAUGAUCAGCCACACUGGAACUGAGACACGGUCCAGACUCCUACGGGAGGCAGCAGUGGGGAAUAUUCGACAAUGGGCGAAAGCCUGAUCCAGCCAUGCCGCGUGUGUGAAGAAGGUCUUCGGAUUGUAAAGCUCUUUAAGUAGGGAGGCGUUACCAACAGAAAAAGCACCGGCUAACUUCGUGCCAGCAGCCGCGGUAAUAC
rnacentral:rRNA from 1 species